rnacentral:rRNA from 1 species
GAAACCAACAGGGAUUGCCCCAGUAACGGCGAGUGAAGCGGCAAGAGCUCAAAUUUGAAAUCUGGCCUCCUUCGGGGGUCCGAGUUGUAAUUUGUAGAGGAUGCUUCGGGUGUGGCCGCCGUCUAAGUUCCUUGGAACAGGACGUCAGAGAGGGUGAGAAUCCCGUCUUGGGCGGCCGGUCCGCGCCCGUGUGAAGCUCCUUCGACGAGUCGAGUUGUUUGGGAAUGCAGCUCUAAGCGGGUGGUAAAUUUCAUCUAAAGCUAAAUACUGGUCGGAGACCGAUAGCGCACAAGUAGAGUGAUCGAAAGGUUAAAAGCACCUUGAAAAGGGAGUUAAACAGCACGUGAAAUUGUUGAAAGGGAAGCGCUUGCGGCCAGACUCGGGGGCGGGGUUCAGCGGGCGCUCGUCGCCCGUGUACUCCCCGUCUCCCGGGCCAGCAUCAGUUUCGACGGCCGGUCAAAGGCCCCCGGAAUGUGUCGUCUCUCGGGACGUCUUAUAGCCGGGGGUGCAAUGCGGCCCGUCGGGACUGAGGAACGCGCUCCGGCUCGGAUGCUGGCGUAAUGGCCGUAAGCGGCCCGUCUUGAAACACGGACCAAGGAGUCUAACAUCCACGCGAGUGUUCGGGUGUCAAACCCGUGCGCGCAGUGAAAGCGAACGGAGGUGGGAGCCUUAGGGCGCACCAUCGACCGAUCCUGAAGUCUUCGGAUGGAUUUGAGUAGGAGCGUGGCCGUUGGGACCCGAAAGAUGGUGAACUAUGCCUGAAUAGGGUGAAGCCAGAGGAAACUCUGGUGGAGGCUCGCAGCGGUUCUGACGUGCAAAUCGAUCGUCAAAUUUGGGCAUAGGGGCGAAAGACUAAUCGAACCAUCUAGUAGCUGGUUCCUGCCGAAGUUUCCCUCAGGAUAGCAGUGACGAUAUUCCAGUUUUAUGAGGUAAAGCGAAUGAUUA